rnacentral:misc_RNA from 1 species
CUUGGCGUCGCAUGAGGCUCCGCUGCCACAUAGGGUGUCGUAAAAAAGCUCCACGGUCCUACCUCCCGUGAUUAUUAGUAUCACGCACGUGCCUCCUGAUAGGUACAUUACUGGAAAUAUUGCUAGCAAUUUCCCUAGCUUUGGACCGAAGGAAGCAAUGGAAAGUUGAAGAAAUCGGCUGCAACGGGGUCCAGGGAGUGCCUCGUGAAGGUGUACUAGAAGCCAUAUCGUGUAGAACUGCCACGUAGAUGCAAGCAAUAAACAUAUGAUUCCGCAAGUCCAUCCAAGAAUGGAGAAGGCCAGAGGAAGUAAAAGAGCUUGAAAUCCGAUUCCUGAAGAAAGCAAAUGAAAUACACAAGUGAAGAAGUUGCCAUUUCUAGAUUCUGUGAUAGGAAGCCAAGCGUCUACUGGGUUAAUCUCAUCAUCAUCAUGUCGGCAAUCGCCUGAACCUUGCGUUCCCGAAGUAAUGGUGAUGAUUUGUAGGGUCGUCGUCGGAGGGCUUUGGUCGGUGUCGACAUGGAGGUUGUGGAGAGGGGACUCUUCACUGGAAUAUUGUCCAAACAUUUUUUUUUUCUCUGAUAAAGAUUUUG